rnacentral:tRNA from 1 species
GGUUCCAUAGUGUAGCGGUUAUCACGUCUGCUUUACACGCAGAAGGUCUCCGGUUCGAUCCCGGAUGAAACCA